CCUACGGGAGGCAGCAGUGGGGAAUAUUGGACAAUGGGCGAAAGCCUGAUCCAGCAAUGCCGCGUGAGUGAUGAAGGCCUUCGGGUCGUAAAGCUCUUUUACCAGGGAUGAUAAUGACAGUACCUGGAGAAUAAGCUCCGGCUAACUCCGUGCCAGCAGCCGCGGUAAUACGGAGGGAGCUAGCGUUGUUCGGAAUUACUGGGCGUAAAGAGUACGUAGGCGGUUAUUCAAGUCAGAGGUGAAAGCCCGGGGCUCAACCCCGGAACUGCCUUUGAAACUAGAUAACUAGAGUCUUGGAGAGGUUAGUGGAAUUCCGAGUGUAGAGGUGAAAUUCGUAGAUAUUCGGAAGAACACCAGUGGCGAAGGCGACUAACUGGACAAGUACUGACGCUGAGGUACGAAAGCGUGGGGAGCAAACAGGAUUAGAUACCCUGGUAGUCCACGCCGUAAACGAUGAUAACUAGUUGUUCGGUCACUUGGUGACUGAGUGACGCAGCUAACGCAUUAAGUUAUCCGCCUGGGGAGUACGGUCGCAAGAUUAAAACUCAAAGGAAUUAGACGG
rnacentral:rRNA from 1 species